ACGCGAAAGUUCCGCAAGGAAUUAGUAGAGUGGCAAACGGGUGAGUAACACGUGGGUGACCUGCCUUCGAGUGGGGGAUAACGUCCCGAAAGGGACGCUAAUACCGCAUAAUAUUCUGCCUUUUAAGAGGUGGCAAUCAAAGCCGGGGAUCGCAAGACCUGGCGCUUGAAGAGGGGCCCGCGUCCGAUUAGCUAGUUGGCGGGGUAACGGCUCACCAAGGCGACGAUCGGUAGCCGGCCUAAGAGGGCGGACGGCCACACUGGGACUGAGACACGGCCCAGACUCCUACGGGAGGCAGCAGUGGGGAAUUGUUCGCAAUGGGCGCAAGCCUGACGACGCAACGCCGCGUGGAGGAUGAAGACCUUCGGGUCGUAAACUCCUUUCGAUCGAGACGAAUGGCCUUCGGGUUAAUAGCCCGGGGGAAUGACGGUACCGAGAGAAGAAGCCCCGGCUAACUCCGUGCCAGCAGCCGCGGUAAUACGGGGGGGGCAAGCGUUGUUCGGAAUUACUGGGCGUAAAGGGCUCGUAGGCGGCCAACUAAGUCAGACGUGAAAUCCCUCGGCUUAACCGGGGAACUGCGUCUGAUACUGGAUGGUUGAAUCCGGGAGAGGGAUGCGGAAUUCCAGGUGUAGCGGGUGAAAUGCGU
rnacentral:rRNA from 1 species